GGGCGAAUAGCUCAGUUGGUUAGAGCAUCCGGUUUACACCCGGAAGGUCGGGGGUUCGAGUCCCUCUUCGCCCACCG
rnacentral:tRNA from 3 species